CUGGACUUGGAGUCAGAAGACC
rnacentral:miRNA from 1 species